CAACAUCCCAUUUCUUUUUCUCAUCUCCAUUUCUUCCAGUCUAGUCUUCUACUUCCUUGUUGGGCUCGAAGAUCAAUUCAGCUUGUUAAUGUACUUUGUGCUGAAUUCUUUCAUGGCUUUGUUGGAGAAUUGGAAAAUGCUAGGUGGAUAGCAUUGGCUGGUUCUUACAAAUGGUAUUGAAGUGAAGCUACAAAGGUAUGCUCUUAGCGUGAUUGAAGCACCCACUGGUAAUAAGGAAGAUGAUGACCUUGAAUUUGAAAAUAUGUCGUGGAAUGGAUCAGAUACGGAUUCUUUCAGUUUGCCUACAAAUUGUUUGAUUAAAUGUUUUUGGAGAUUUUGAAGACUUUGACUUAUUGUUUUUAGCCUUUUAGGCUUGAUUUGAUGAUUUUGAGCUUCUAUCCAUAGUGGUUAAGUAUUCUUUUAGCUUUUGUCAUGAAUGGUUAAACCUUGGUUGUUGUUGGUUCACAAAGUGUUUGUGAAAAGUUCUCAUUGAAGACAAAUUUUAUGAUUCUUCUAUUUUGUUGAUGUAAGCUUCUGUCCAUGGUGAUUAAUAAUUGUUUAAGUUUUUGCCAUGGAUGGUUAAGCAUUGAAUUGUUGUUUUGCUUCUACUCUUGAUGGUAAACUUUCGUUGCUUUUGCCAAGUGGUUAAACUCUGAGGUAUAGUUUCUGCUUGGUGGUUAAACUUUGAUAGUUUCAUGGAUUAAUGGUUUGAACUUCUGCCAAAUGGUCUUGUUGUUGAUUUCGCUUUAUGAUUAAGUUUUGAUGCUUGCUUUGGACUCUUGGAAGAAGAUUGAGAAAGCUGAAGUGGGUCAAAGAUUUCUAGAAGUUUCUGUUUUAGCCAAUGUAUUUUCAGCAUGUUUGACUAUAUUCCAAGUUUUCAAACUUUUUUUUUUAUUUCCUUUGAUGUUGAUAUAUUAUCUUCUCCAAGUUGAAAGGUUUUCAACACCUUCCAGCUUGCAGAGGAUAUUAGAGAUAUAAAUUAGUUUAGUUGAUUAUUAGUUUAGUUAGUUACAAAUUAGUUACAAGUUUAACUAUAUAAGACUCAAUGUAUUCAUGUAAAAAUUGAUUUGCUCAUUUUGAACAUUAUUCAAAAUAAUUUAAGUUUUUCUUUUC